UACGUAGGGUCCGAGCGUUGUCCGGAAUUAUUGGGCGUAAAGGGCUCGUAGGCGGUUCGUCACGUCGGGAGUGAAAACUCGGGGCUUAACCCCGAGCCUGCUUCCGAUACGGGCAGACUAGAGGUAGGCAGGGGGGAGAGCGGAACUCCUGGUGUAGCGGUGGAAUGCGCAGAUAUCAGGAAGAACACCGGUGGCGAAGGCGGCUCUCUGGGCCUUACCUGACGCUGAGGAGCGAAAGCGUGGGUAGCGAACAGG
rnacentral:rRNA from 1 species